rnacentral:rRNA from 1 species
UACGGAGGGUGCAAGCGUUAUCCGGAUUCACUGGGUUUAAAGGGUGCGUAGGUGGGUAAGUAAGUCAGUGGUGAAAUCUCCGGGCUUAACCCGGAAACUGCCAUUGAUACUAUUUGUCUUGAAUACUGUGGAGGUCAGCGGAAUAUGUCAUGUAGCGGCGAAAUGCUUAGAUAUGACAUAGAACACCAAUUGCGAAGGCAGCUGGCUACACAAAUAUUGACACUGAGGCACGAAAGCGUGGGGAUCAAACAGG